UCUUUCCAAAAGAAUAAAGAUUCGAACAUUUCGCCUCCAUACAAUUUUAACAAGAAGGUAUUGGAUCCGGACCUAACGAUCCAAAGCGUCCAUUUAUGACCAACUCGUAAUUUAUGUUUUAGAGGUAUCACAACUUUAGUUGGGAUUAGUCACUACCUUGCAACCUUUUGGGUUUUAAGCAUCAUUAUUUUCUAAACAGUUAACACCACCAUAUUAUCUCUAUUAUAGAGAUAAUUAAUUAGAUUACCAUAAUCCAAUCAUUGAUUAAUAAAGAACUUUGUUUUGUCAAACAAAACAUUUAUCCAUUUCACAUAGUGACGGAAUUUAGUUCCUUAAAAUUGGAAUACAAAGACAAUCUAUGUUUUUCCAAUUUCUUUGGUAGUUCAUAUGAGGAAGUAAGUACCAUCUGCUUUCGCAGAGAUCUACAUUUGAUUCACGUUUCCGAAUGUGAAGCACCUUCUCUUCUCUCAUAAAUCUUCUACUUCUUAUUAGCCACACUUUUACAACGAUUGUAAAACAUAGUUGCUAAUACGAAAUCAAGCAUUCAAGUAGAAGAACCAACUGUUUUGAACUUUUCAAGAACAAUUUACAACACCUUCGAAAAGUGUGUUCUUGACACUUGCAAGACAUUUCUUGCAAAUACCCCUUCCAAUGUCCAUCCUUUCAUAAAGAAAGUUUGUUCCCUUGGAGUUUAUUUAUCUUCUUUAUUUGACUUUCACCUUUGACUACAUUAGUCAUUGUCCCUAAACUCCCACUAUCUCUCUUGAAACCUUUUCAAUUGUGUUAUACACAUCAAACAUUUUGGAGAGCAUGUGGUUAUUGUUCACUAUAUAGUUUACAAUAUACUUAGUGAACGAUUAGGAUAGGGAAACAAAAGUGAAGUCCUUGCCUAGUUUCCGUCUCGUUAAGUGGUUUAUCACUUCAACACUCAAUGAUUCAAAAUCAUCAUAAGUCCAUGUUGAUGGACUAUUUUUGUCAACCAACCAUUAUGUUCUAAACAUAAUUACAAACUUUAAAGAGUUGUACAAGGCAACUCUUAUUUCUUCACACAACAAAUUGUAAGUGAAGAAUCAUGGCACAUAAAGUGUCCAUGCCUUUGUGCCUUCUUCUCAAGUUCUUUGUUCAUUUAACAAAGAAACAAGCACUAAGUGUUUGUAUUGACUAAGAGUUGUUCAAAGCAACUCCUAUUUCUUCAUACAACAAAUUGUAAUUGAAGAAUUAUGACAUU
rnacentral:lncRNA from 1 species